CCAUGGGGAGCAGGAAAGACCUGUCAAAAGACCUGCAUAACCAGGCUGUUCCUCACAGGAAUGAGGAGUCGUAGACAAUCAUCGCUGCUGCAAGGCAGGGUUAGCAGCACAGAGGCUGUCAGUGGUGGAGUGUGCAGUGAACCGCACCCCGCCGGUUGGAAGCUAGCCUUCAGUCGGUUAUCUUUCUGCCCUCGAAGUCGCCCCAAGACAAAAGUUUCAUGGCUGCUCUCACUGGCUCCUGUGAACUUGAAUACAAGGAGACCUGAAGCUUCUACGGGGACAUCAAAUAGCAGAAGAAUUUACAGACACCCAUUCAUUCACAGUACCCUCACUGACAUCUUUCCACUCUCCCCCCACUGCUCAAAAUGCAGGCGGUGGAUAAACUGUACACCCAAAUGGGCCUGCCUUGCGAUUGGGUUUGAAUGCUGACCUCUGACCUCUGCUUGCUGGAGGAGACCGUUUCAAGCGGUGGUCACAUUUCAACGAGCGAGGCGGGAGAGGGCGAGAGAGGGACCAGUAAAGGGCCUCGGCUUCGAGUGGGACUCGCUAAGUGUCACUCGUGUGUUCAACCUUUGUCCAUUUUUGUCAUGCACAGAGGCCCGCUCAUAGGCUCUAUAUGUGUGUGUUAUUGUGUCCUCAGCAGUGUGAAUCGCACAAUACAGAUGAUUAUGUUUGUUGUUGUUGUUGUUGUGUCGUGUGCAUAAUAUUAAUGUUAUUGACCAUGUGAUUUGAACAACAUGUCAACUUAUUUCAUUCAUAAUACAUAUUUUUGGGCUCAACAA